rnacentral:rRNA from 1 species
CCUUGUACACACCGCCCGUCACACCAUGGGAGUUGGUUCUACCCGAAGGUAGUGCGCUAACCGCAAGGAGGCAGCUAACCACGGUAGGGUACAGCGACUGGGGUG